AUAACAUAUGCUAACAUAAUUCAAAUGUCCAAACUAAACUAACUAAAAUGCCAAUAACUGAAGAAUCAUCGGAAACUCUAACGCACUCCCCAAUCCCGUGCGAUCAAGCCUCUGGAUCUAAAAAAUGGAGAAAACAGAAUAAUGAGCUACACUAGCCCAGUAAGCAACAAAAUACCCCAGAGUGGGGUCAGAGCAUAUCAGAUCAAAAUACAGGAUAAUGUCUGGAAUAAAUCAUAAAUAACAUCGUUUUGUUGUUUUCAAAACUUAUUAUCAUUUUUCCAAAAACUCUUAUACCAGAAUCUCAACAUAAUAGGCUACGG
rnacentral:lncRNA from 1 species